UAAAUGCCACAAUGCAUAUGGACUUCUAAAA
rnacentral:piRNA from 1 species